AGAGUUUGAUCCUGGCUCAGAUUGAACGCUGGCGGCAGGCCUAACACAUGCAAGUCGAGCGGAUGAAGGGAGCUUGCUCCUGGAUUCAGCGGCGGACGGGUGAGUAAUGCCUAGGAAUCUGCCUGGUAGUGGGGGACAACGUUUCGAAAGGAACGCUAAUACCGCAUACGUCCUACGGGAGAAAGCAGGGGACCUUCGGGCCUUGCGCUAUCAGAUGAGCCUAGGUCGGAUUAGCUAGUUGGUGAGGUAAUGGCUCACCAAGGCGACGAUCCGUAACUGGUCUGAGAGGAUGAUCAGUCACACUGGAACUGAGACACGGUCCAGACUCCUACGGGAGGCAGCAGUGGGGAAUAUUGGACAAUGGGCGAAAGCCUGAUCCAGCCAUGCCGCGUGUGUGAAGAAGGUCUUCGGAUUGUAAAGCACUUUAAGUUGGGAGGAAGGGUUGUAGAUUAAUACUCUGCAAUUUUGACGUUACCGACAGAAUAAGCACCGGCUAACUCUGUGCCAGCAGCCGCGGUAAUACAGAGGGUGCAAGCGUUAAUCGGAAUUACUGGGCGUAAAGCGCGCGUAGGUGGUUCGUUAAGUUGGAUGUGAAAUCCCCGGGCUCAACCUGGGAACUGCAUUCAAAACUGUCGAGCUAGAGUAUGGUAGAGGGUGGUGGAAUUUCCUGUAGCGGUGAAAUGCGUAGAUAUAGGAAGGAACACCAGUGGCGAAGGCGACCACCUGGACUGAUACUGACACUGAGGUGCGAAAGCGUGGGGAGCAAACAGGAUUAGAUACCCUAGUAGUCC
rnacentral:rRNA from 1 species